rnacentral:rRNA from 1 species
GCAGUCGAGCGAACAGACAAGGAGCUUGCUCCUUUGACGUUAGCGGCGGACGGGUGAGUAACACGUGGGUAACCUACCUAUAAGACUGGGAUAACUUCGGGAAACCGGAGCUAAUACCGGAUAAUAUUUCGAACCGCAUGGUUCGAUAGUGAAAGAUGGUUUUGCUAUCACUUAUAGAUGGACCCGCGCCGUAUUAGCUAGUUGGUAAGGUAACGGCUUACCAAGGCGACGAUACGUAGCCGACCUGAGAGGGUGAUCGGCCACACUGGAACUGAGACACGGUCCAGACUCCUACGGGAGGCAGCAGUAGGGAAUCUUCCGCAAUGGGCGAAAGCCUGACGGAGCAACGCCGCGUGAGUGAUGAAGGUCUUCGGAUCGUAAAACUCUGUUAUUAGGGAAGAACAUACGUGUAAGUAACUAUGCACGUCUUGACGGUACCUAAUCAGAAAGCCACGGCUAACUACGUGCCAGCAGCCGCGGUAAUACGUAGGUGGCAAGCGUUAUCCGGAAUUAUUGGGCGUAAAGCGCGCGUAGGCGGUUUUUUAAGUCUGAUGUGAAAGCCCACGGCUCAACCGUGGAGGGUCAUUGGAAACUGGAAAACUUGAGUGCAGAAGAGGAAAGUGGAAUUCCAUGUGUAGCGGUGAAAUGCGCAGAGAUAUGGAGGAACACCAGUGGCGAAGGCGACUUUCUGGUCUGUAACUGACGCUGAUGUGCGAAAGCGUGGGGAUCAAACAGGAUUAGAUACCCUGGUAGUCCACGCCGUAAACGAUGAGUGCUAAGUGUUAGGGGGUUUCCGCCCCUUAGUGCUGCAGCUAACGCAUUAAGCACUCCGCCUGGGGAGUACGACCGCAAGGUUGAAACUCAAAGGAAUUGACGGGGACCCGCACAAGCGGUGGAGCAUGUGGUUUAAUUCGAAGCAACGCGAAGAACCUUACCAAAUCUUGACAUCCUUUGACAACUCUAGAGAUAGAGCCUUCCCCUUCGGGGGACAAAGUGACAGGUGGUGCAUGGUUGUCGUCAGCUCGUGUCGUGAGAUGUUGGGUUAAGUCCCGCAACGAGCGCAACCCUUAAGCUUAGUUGCCAUCAUUAAGUUGGGCACUCUAAGUUGACUGCCGGUGACAAACCGGAGGAAGGUGGGGAUGACGUCAAAUCAUCAUGCCCCUUAUGAUUUGGGCUACACACGUGCUACAAUGGACAAUACAAAGGGCAGCGAAACCGCGAGGUCAAGCAAAUCCCAUAAAGUUGUUCUCAGUUCGGAUUGUAGUCUGCAACUCGACUACAUGAAGCUGGAAUCGCUAGUAAUCGUAGAUCAGCAUGCUACGGUGAAUACGUUCCCGGGUCUUGUACACACCGCCCGUCACACCACGAGAGUUUGUAACACCCGAAGCCGGUGGAGUAACCAUUGGAGCUAGC